rnacentral:rRNA from 1 species
GGGAAUAUUGCACAAUGGGGGAAACCCUGAUGCAGCGACGCCGCGUGAGUGAAGAAGUAUUUCGGUAUGUAAAGCUCUAUCAGCAGGGAAGAAAACAGACGGUACCUGACUAAGAAGCCCCGGCUAACUACGUGCCAGCAGCCGCGGUAAUACGUAGGGGGCAAGCGUUAUCCGGAUUUACUGGGUGUAAAGGGAGCGUAGACGGCAUAGCAAGUCUGAAGUGAAAGCCCAAGGCUCAACCAUGGGACUGCUUUGGAAACUGUUAAGCUAGAGUGCUGGAGAGGUAAGCGGAAUUCCUAGUGUAGCGGUGAAAUGCGUAGAUAUUAGGAAGAACACCAGUGGCGAAGGCGGCUUACUGGACAGUAACUGACGUUGAGGCUCGAAAGCGUGGGGAGCAAACA